ensembl:lncRNA
AUCUCUGGUUGGAGAUCCAUCCCUUGUGGAGGUUUUCCCUGCAAACCUAGAUCUUCAGAGAUGGGAGAGACAUUCAGAUAUCAUCAGCCCUUGUUUUCUUAUUGUAAACUGCCAUUUGCAGCGCUUGUGACAAAACAGGCGAAGACUUGCUGUUUUGCAGAGAAAAUUCACAUGGGAUCUAACUCAGAAACUGGAAAAUAUAUUUGCCUUUGAUAUUAGUACCCGUAAGGUUGAAGAGCUCUAAAAAGUUUGCAAAGAUAGGAAUCACACAGAAUUGUAAGGCUUGGAAGGGACCUCUGGAGAGUCAGUCCAAUCCCCCUGCUAAAUUGGAUUCCCUAGAGUAUGUUGCAGACAGAAGCUUUCUGUCAUUUUCUGAGUAUCUCCAGAGAAGGAGAAUCCACAGACUCUCAGGACAGCUUGUUUCAAGGAAGUUGUAUCACCCUCAAAGCCAAGAAGUUCUUUCUCAUGUUCUCAUGGAACUUCCUGUGUCCCAGAUUGUGCUUGCUGGCCUUUGUUCUGUUGCUGGGCAUGGCUAAAAAGAGCCUGGCCUCAUUAAGAUAUUUGUAAACAUCAGUAAGAUCCCGUCUGUCUUAUCUUCUUCUGGCUGAACAGACCCAGUUCCUCUUCAUGAGGGAGAUGCUCCAGUUUUCUAAUCAUCUUUCUAGCCCUUGUCUGGACUCUCUCCAAUGGUUUCCUGUUGUUCAUGAGCUGGGGAGCCCAGAACUGGACACAGCACUCCAGAUGUGGCCUCACCAGGCCAGAGUUCAGGAGGAGGAUCAUCUCCCUUGACCUUCUGGCCACCCUCUUUUUAAUGCACCCUGAGGUACCAUUGGCCUUCUUGGCCACAAGGGCAUACUGCUGGCUCAUGGGCAGCCUGCUGUCCACCAGGACACCCAAGUCUUCCUCUGCAGAGCUCCUUUCCAGGAACUAAACCUAACCUGUACUGAUGUGUGCAGUUAUUUAUUCUCAAGUGUAAGACUCUACACUUGUGCCAGUAAGGCUCUCCUCCACUCAACUCUCCAGCCUGUCCAGGUCUCUCUUAAUGGCAGCACAGCCUUCCAGUGUGUCAGCUAGUCCUCCUGACAUUGUGUCAUCAGCAAACUUGCUGAGUUUGCUCUCUGUCCUUUCAUCCAGGUCACUGAUAAGAAGUUAAACAAGACCAUGGUACCUACCCAUGGUGAAUACCUCUGGCUACAGACUUCCCAUUAGACUCUGCAUUGCUAAUCACAACGCUCUGAGUUUGGCUAGAUCCUUAAAAUCUAUGAGAACAUCCACUUCAUUUUUGAUUUAUGUGGAAUUUGAGAAACUGAGCUAUGUGCAUCCAAAGAUGAAGAGUUUUUAAGUAAUACAUCAUUUCCAUCACAGAUGCUUUGUUCGCUUGAGAGAACUCUGGCAUUGGAAGUAGAGCCUGCGUGAAAGAUAGAUGUAACUUGUAGUUCAAAUCAAGAGCAGCAGGUCUGAGAAUAGAUAUUUUGUCAGUUUAAUUUUAGACACAAUUUUAGUUCACUUGAAUCAUGAUUCAUUAGGAAAAAGCUGUUUACUUUGGAAAAUAGAGAUGGUAAUUAACUCUAUUAGGGGUUAGUAAAUCAUAAAUGCGCUUACAGUGUUUAUAAAGCCUAUCUUUUAUCUGUUGUGUAACUGUAGAAUGCACUUAUUUGUAUCAGCCUACUUGACUUACCUCUGAUGUUGUCUCCAUGAAAAGUUUUUAUUUCUCAUGAUUGUAACUUAAAACUACCCUUAGACAAUAUCUCAGGUCUCAUUUCACUUCAACUAUUCUGAACUGUUUUUGUUGUCAAUGAGACUAUAUUUCCCACAGCAGUAUCCCUUGGAGGUUCAGGCUACCUUGUUAGUUUGCCAACUGAGGUAGCAAGUUGACAGGUGCAAAAUGUCUUCAUGGAAGCUGUGAAACCAAGAACUUAAGACUUACAUUUUAGUCUCUAAUACACAAAUAAUUAUAAGUGUUAUGUGCUAUAUAUUGGCAACUUUUAUGUAGGAUUUUCUUGUUCAUGCUGUGGCACUGCAUUUUGAUAUUUUGAUUGCACUUGUCUCCACUAGAUCAUUUUGCAAACAUCAUCAUUUCUAUUACUUUAUGUCUACACAGAGAAAUAAAUAUUUUAUAAUG